rnacentral:snRNA from 1 species
AUCGCUUCUCGGCCUUUUGGCUAAGACCAAGUGUAGAAUAUAUUAGUACCAUUAAUUAUGAGAAACAUCUUGCUGCCUUUCUUUUUUUUUCAGGGGGUGGGGGGUGUAUGUAAACAAACAAAAAGCCAAAUCUGUACCUUUCUACCCAAUGUAAAGAACUUGUUUUAGGAGUACUGACAUUUAUGUGCAACAUAUC